GAAAGCAAAGAAACUCAAGUUGGAGAAGAUGAACAUACCGUUAAUGGUUAGUUUUUCAACCUUUUCUGUAACGAAUUUAAAACUAGCCAUUUUCAUCGGUUUUAUUGUUUGACUUUAUUUUGGGCAUAUUGAGGAAUUUUGGAGAAGUUUGUAAUAUCCUCGAAGACCCGAAACAAGCUCCAAAAGUCUACAAUCAAGUAACCAUAUGGAGCAAGUUUCUACGAAAUUACUUGUAGGAGUCGAUUAAGUUUGAAGGCAAUGAUUGAGUAUUAUGUUUAUGAGCCUAAUUUGACUUAGUUUCAUGAGAAUUGUGCUUAGAUGAUGUGAAUAGCUUACCACUUAAUUAUAUUUAUCGUCAUAUAGUUUCCGCAUGCAUGAUCUUGUGAACUCAGGUAGAUAAUUGGACUUACAUGAGGUUGGAUUAUUAUCUACAUGAGGUUGGAUUAUUAUCACUUAAUAAGCAUGAUGAGCAUGUUGUAUGUCUUUAUUCAUUGUUAUGCAUUGAUUUAAGGUUUGGAUAGUCCAUUAUUGCCCAGGCAUGAGUUGAACUAAUUGCUAUGUACAUAGAGUGCUAAUUAUGGUUUCCAUAGAAUAUGAGUUACUGUUUCACUUCAUAUCGGUAGUUUUAUGUUCUAGCUUGGAAGGAAGUUUUAGUCAUAUCGGUAGUUUUGCUAGGUACCUCACUCACUCGAUUACCUGGUCGAGGAGGAAAUGUGGCUACGAGCCAAACUGCAUAGGACCCAACUGACACUCUUAACUAAAGGGGAGGGUCUAGGGGACCUUACACCCUAAUGUUCUAAUACUAAACAACAGUUCUAGUCUAUGCAUCAAUUUGGUCUGCACUGUGUUAACUUUUUUCAUUGAAAAACAACAGUAUUUGGAAACACUAAACAAUUUGAUGAGAAAGAGUAACAUGGAAUAUUAGUAUACUUGUUGGAUACCAGGACUGCUUAUUUUUCAUUAGUUGUGUUCAGGUUGUUUCAUGGACCCAUAAUUUAGCAGCAUAUAAUAAAAAGCAUAUUGAUAUUGUUAUUCAUGUUCUUAAUCUACAUGCCAAUGUUUUACUUUUUCGUUGAAACAUUGAAAUUGUUGA